AGAGAACUGACUCCCAAAAGUUGUUCUGUGAUCUCCACAUGUGCACAGCGUGUAAACAUCGCUUUUAUUUCCUCAGAUGAAGUGAUGAAAUGAGAGCCAUAUCCAAGCUGUAUAAUCCAGGCUAAUCUCAUGUCAAAGUCUCCAAGUUAAAAACAACUUCAGAAUUCCUUUCCAUAGGUUUCGCUCUUAUGGAAGAGGCUGUGGGAGUGCCCUUGGCCCCGAAGGAGUGAAGAUGCAGCAAGAUGGUGUGGGCUUUGAAACAAGGAAGGAAUUCAUCAGACGCUGGACUUACCAGCACCUUGGUAUUUAAACUUUUCAGUCUCUAGUACUG